GAGACCAUGGAGCAGUUUGACGAGGAGGAGGAGCAUCUCACUGACGAGAGUAACUUUGAACACAUGGUGCAGCGUCUGGCUAGAGUAGGAGGAAGGGACCCAAAAGAGUGCGUCCGAAAAGUCCUUGACAGGCUGUUCUCGAACACCCUAAUGGCGCAAUUUAAUAUGAUGGGCAAGGGCCACAAGGACAAAAGAGCUUUAAGGGGCAC